rnacentral:rRNA from 1 species
UACGGAGGGGGCUAGCGUUAAUCGGAAUUACUGGGCGUAAAGCGCGCGUAGGCGGCUUUGCAAGUCGGGUGUGAAAUCCCCAGGCUUAACCUGGGAACUGCAUUCGAGACUGCAUUGCUAGAGUAUGGGAGAGGGAAGUGGAAUUUCCGGUGUAGCGGUGAAAUGCGUAGAUAUCGGAAGGAACAUCAGUGGCGAAAGCGACUUCCUGGACCAAUACUGACGCUCAUGUGCGAAAGCGUGGGGGGCAAACAGG